rnacentral:rRNA from 1 species
CCUACGGGAGGCAGCAGUGAGGAAUAUUGGUCAAUGGGCGCGAGCCUGAACCAGCCAAGUAGCGUGAAGGAUGACUGCCCUACGGGUUGUAAACUUCUUUUAUAAAAGAAUAAAGUGAGGCACGUGUGCCUUUUUGUAUGUACUUUAUGAAUAAGGAUCGGCUAACUCCGUGCCAGCAGCCGCGGUAAUACGGAGGAUCCGAGCUUUAUCCGGAUUUAUUGGGUUUAAAGGGAGCGUAGAUGGGUUGUUAAGUCAGUUGUGAAAGUUUGCUGCUCAACCGUAAAAUUGCCAUUGAUACUGGCAGCCUUGAGUACAGUUGAGGUAGGCGGAAUUCGUGGUGUAGCGGUGAAAUGCUUAGAUAUCACGAAGAACACCGAUUGCGAAGGCAGCCUACUAAACUGCCACUGACAUUGAUGCACGAAAGUGUGGGUAGCAAACAGGAUUAGAUACCCUGGUAGUC